AGAAACGCCCACGUGCCGGAUGCUGCGUGUGACCAAUCGGAAAAGUAAAAGGGUUUCCCGUUUGCACGGCCAAUCGACUGGGAAAAAACCCAGGGAUUGAACUAACCGGGGAGCAUUCACACCAAUCAGAUGCUGAUGAUGUCAUGUCCUACUGACUUCCAAGGCAAAGAAGCUUAUCAAUCUCAAACUUCAGUGACUCAGUAAACAUGAAUUGCUUAUGGUGAUAUUA